AUGGAGGAAAAAUUUAAAAGAAAAUUUCAAAAGCUCAAGGAAAAGAGGAAAAAAGACAAGAACAAGCAUGAGGAAGAUCUAAGAGUACUCAAGGAAGACCUCAGAAAACUCAAGGAAGAUCACGAAGAGCUCAAAUUACAAAUCCAAGAGAUGCGAAAAGAAGAGUGUGCUGAAGUAAAUCAUUACAAGUCAUCCCAAUCUCAAAGAUCACAACUAAGCCAAUCAACAAGAUUUCGACUAGUAAUUGAAAAUAGUGUGGGCAGAACAAUUUACAAAAAGGAAACUGUAAAGACUGAGGGUGGUAGAGAUCACAUAAAAGUUGUCAUGUACGAUGGUGGCAAUCCAAUUGCAUCUGACCACCAUCUUGCUUCAGUAAGAGUUGAGCUAGUUGUCAUUGAAGGAGGGUUUGAUGAAAUGCGAGAUUCGUGGUCAAAAGAGGAGUUUGAGAAAAGCAUAAUAAAACCGCGAAGAACAACGACAUUGACAAGUCUAGUGAAAAAUUCUACAUUUAAUCUGAUUCGUGGGAGUUGUGACCAUAAAGAUGCCAUUAUUAUGGAUAAUUCGCAGCAAAGGGAAGUUAAGCUUGGAGUAAGGAUCACAGUGCCUACAGAAACAAGAGUUCUCGAAGGAGUAUCAAAUCCUUUUAAAGUGCAGGAAGGCAAGACGAAAAAGCCAGCACCAAAGAAAACGGGUAAAAAAACUUCUCCAGUUCCAACGCGAAACUUGGUACAGACGACCAGCACCACGCAACACAACAUGGUAAAGGCUACAAAUUCUUGUUUACCCCCGCCCCCCACCCUGCGCAAGAAGUUUAUUUCCGAAAAGAGUUAG
rnacentral:rRNA from 1 species